CGUCUGUCCAGUCCUACUCUUCUCCACCAACAGAUGAGGAACACCAGCCUGAAUCCAGUUCAGCUGAAGCAAUGCACACAACAUAUGCCACCGUCACAAGACCCAGGGGUGUAAAAGAAUCCAUUUCAAUUGAACCAAAAUACACGACAUAUGCCACCGUCACAAGACCCAGGGAGGUAAAAGCAUUUCAGAUACGAACCACGCAGUAAACCCCCAGACAGAAGCAGGAAGUUCACUGUGUAGCAGCUCAAGGUUGUUUCUGAGUGAAGCUGCCACCGUUACAAUAAUAAAAGUCGAUGCCUGCGUUUGAUUUAUUUUUAUCAGGGUGUCGAGUUUGUAGAUGUGCUGUCGUAAAUUUGGACUUAUAUGUCCUCACAGAUGCAUUUUGCCCUAUUAUAGAUGUAUGUAUGACAGGUAAAAAUAAAAGCUAAGUAGAAGCCAAGUAGGUGAAAUAUAAAGUUUGUCUUAAGAUGCAAAGAAGUCGUGCUGAGUGUCCACAACUUCAUGUCAAACAGUUUUUGGGAUAUUUCUUUCAUGUUUUUCCUCACUGUGGGCUCACUUUUCACUGCAGUAUCAAAAUAAUAAAAGUCUUGCAUCUCUACAGCUCAACCAAGACUAGAAGUAGAGAGAACUUUAAGUGGAAACACCAAGAACCCGAGUUGAAUUUAGUCUGAUUGUUUAUUUACUAAACCAGAAUCAAUCUGAGUUUUUACUAAAAGUUUAAAAUUGUUAAUUCUUUAUUGAAUGUGUCUCCAAAACAGAGCCGGAAGCAUCCAGCUACUCAGCACCCUGGAUUGACACGAGACACUUUUAUCAUACGAUCGAUUAGGCAAGAAUGAGGCACCGUCGCUUUGUUUGUUCUCUUUGUUCUGCUGUGAAGGGAAAUGAUGGAAAAAAAGCAUCAUUUCAGGAGGUUUCUGUACAGUUACUGCAGGUUUUGUACGUUUGUAUGAACACUCAAUAUGUUGAUGGAUCAUUGAUGACAGUGUGCGACUUUGUUUGAAAUUAAAAAAAAGAAACAAGAGACUUCAGUCUCCUCACAGCAUCAGUGAGUAUUUUCAGAAGCAGCAGUUCAAUAGUGAAACCAUUCGUUUCUAUGUCUGUUCACUGAGCUGCUGUUGAAUAUACUCACUGUGGUGACGAUAUGUGACAAAUGUUGAAGUAAUAUUGACCUAAAAAGUCAUAAAUCAUCAGCAUAACAUCAGUUUGUGGCUGAGAAAGUAAAAACACUGUCAACGCAAGAACUUCCCCUCAAGAAAUAGUGAAGGAGGUGGAAUGAAUAUUGUUCUCUUAUGUAGUGUUUGUUCUUCAUCUGCUUUGCUGCUUUUCCAACCCUCACCCUGAUUGGUCGAGACAGACAGCUGACCUCCCUUAGCCUGGUUCAUAACUCUCGAUAAGUGGAGAUCGUUUGGUUCCUUCCCACUGUUGCCAAGUUCUUCUUGAAGGAAAUAGAAAGGAGGACGAGGAUUUGUUUGCUUUGUCUGUUUAAAUUCAUCAGGUCUUCAUCUUACUGUGUGAACUGCAAUGAGAUGCUGUGAACUGGCCCUAUAUUUUUUUUAAAAAAAGAAAGAACUUGAAAUUAAGUUGUGUUGUUGAAUAUUGUGUAUUGCAUUUUAAUAAAAUUACAUUCAUUAUAUAUAUUUACAGUUUAUACAGUAUCAUCAAAUGC